UAGAGACCAACUAAGUUUGUUCUGGGCAUAAGCUUUCAUGUGCAUGCAGAAGAAGUGUGCAUGCAGAAGAAGUGUGCAUGCACAUGAAAGCUUAUGCCCAGAACAAACUUAAUUGGUCAGUA